GGAGGAAGGUGGGGAGGACGUCAAGUCAUCAUGGCCCUUAUGGCACGGGCUACACACGUGCUACAAUGGAUGGUACAAAGGGUUGCCAACCCGCGAGGGGGAGCUAAUCCCAAAAANCCAGUCGUAGUCCGGAUUGCAGUCUGCAACUUGACU
rnacentral:rRNA from 1 species